CUACGGGAGGCUGCAGUAGGGAAUCUUGCGCAAUGGGCGAAAGCCUGACGCAGCAACGCCGCGUGAACGAUUAAGCCCUUCGGGGUGUAAAGUUCUGUCAGUGGGGACGAAACUUGACGGUACCCACAGAGGAAGCACCGGCUAACUCCGUGCCAGCAGCCGCGGUAAUACGGAGGGUGCAAGCGUUGUCCGGAAUCAUUGGGCGUAAAGAGUUCGUAGGUGGCAUAUUAAGUCUGGUGUUAAAGGCAGAAGCUCAACUUCUGUAAGGCACUGGAUACUGGUAAGCUUGAAUGUGGUAGGGUAAAGGGAAUUCCUGGUGUAGCGGUGAAAUGCGUAGAUAUCAGGAGGAACAUCGGUGGCGAAAGCGCUUUACUGGGCCAUAAUUGACACUGAGGAACGAAAGCCGGGGUAGCAAAUGGGAUUAGAUACCCCCGUAGUC
rnacentral:rRNA from 1 species